rnacentral:rRNA from 1 species
GAUGAACGCUGGCGUCGUGCCUAAUACAUGCAAGUCGAGCGAACGGACGAGAAGCUUGCUUUUCUGAUGUUAGCGGCGGACGGGUGAGUAACACGUGGAUAACCUACCUAUAAGACUGGGAUAACUUCGGGAAACCGGGGCUAAUACCGGAUAAUAUUUUGAACAGCAUGGUUCAAAAGUGAAAGACGGUCUUGCUGUCACUUAUAGAUGGAUCCGCGCUGCAUUAGCUAGUUGGUAAGGUAACGGCUUACCAAGGCAACGAUGCAUAGCCGACCUGAGAGGGUGAUCGGCCACACUGGAACUGAGACACGGUCCAGACUCCUACGGGAGGCAGCAGUAGGGAAUCUUCCGCAAUGGGCGAAAGCCUGACGGAGCAACGCCGCGUGAGUGAUGAAGGUCUUCGGAUCGUAAAACUCUGUUAUUAGGGAAGAACAUAUGUGUAAGUAACUGUGCACAUCUUGACGGUACCUAAUCAGAAAGCCACGGCUAACUACGUG